AAUAUUGCACAAUGGGCGCAAGCCUGAUGCAGCCAUGCCGCGUGUAUGAAGAAGGCCUUCGGGUUGUAAAGUACUUUCAGCAGUGAGGAAGGUGGGUAUGUUAAUAGCAUACUCAUUUGACGUUAGCUGCAGAAGAAGCACCGGCUAACUCCGUGCCAGCAGCCGCGGUAAUACGGAGGGUGCGAGCGUUAAUCGGAAUUACUGGGCGUAAAGCGCAUGCAGGUGGUUUGUUAAGUCAGAUGUGAAAGCCCGGGGCUCAACCUCGGAAUUGCAUUUGAAACUGGCAAACUAGAGUACUGUAGAGGGGGUAGAAUUUCAGGUGUAGCGGUGAAAUGCGUAGAGAUCUGAAGGAAUACCGGUGGCGAAGGCGGCCCCCUGGACAGAUACUGACACUCAGAUGCGAAAGCGUGGGGAGCAAACAGGUUUAGAUACCCUGUAG
rnacentral:rRNA from 1 species